rnacentral:lncRNA from 1 species
CAUUUUCUUUUUUCUUUUUCUUUUCUUUUUUUAGCUUUUUGGUCCUUCUGCCGUCAAAAUAGUGUAGGUCAACGACGCGCUCGGCGAGCAUGUAGUUGUGCAGUAUUAAAAUCAUAGUUAAUUAAUUUGAAUACGAUAAAAAUUUGAUAUGAAUAAAAUUUAUAUUUUAAUUUUUAAAUUUGUUGAAAAAUAUGGUUUAAAAAUCGGAUUCGUUAAUAAUUUGUAUAUGCGAUUUAUACGAGAGUUUUAUGUUUAUUAUAUUAUUUAAAAAUUCGGAGCAAAAAUUUAUCUGUUCAAUUAAUUUAUUUCUCACACAAACAAAUGGGGGAGU